rnacentral:rRNA from 1 species
GACGAACCGUGCGAACGUUGUUCGGAUUCACUGGGCUUAAAGGGCGCGUAGGCGGAUCACCAAGUCCGGGGUGAAAUCUUUCGGCUCAACCGGAAAAUUGCCUGGGAUACUGGUGGUCUUGAGGGAGGUAGGGGCAUGCGGAACUUCCGGUGGAGCGGUGAAAUGCGUAGAUAUCGGAAGGAACGCCGGUGGCGAAAGCGGCGUGCUGGACAUCUUCUGACGCUGAGGCGCGAAAGCCAGGGGAGCAAACGGG